rnacentral:miRNA from 1 species
UCGACGUCGACGCAGUGUUCG